AAUCUAUUUGCCGCCAUUUGCAAUUUGUAAACAAAAACUUCGUCCUUUCUUUUCUGUUUUCUUGCAGAGUGCGUCGAUAUGAUACUUUAUUAACCAAAAACUGAUAAUGUAUAUCAAACAGGUUAUUAUUCAAGGUUUCAGAAGUUACAGGGACCAGACUGUGGUGGAACCUUUCAGUCCUAAGCACAAUGUCAUCGUUGGCAGAAAUGGAUCAGGGAAAAGUAACUUCUUUUAUGCCAUCCAGUUUGUACUGUCAGAUGAGUUUAGUCACCUGAGACCUGAGCAGAGACAGGCAUUGCUGCAUGAGGGUACUGGUCCUCGGGUCAUCUCUGCUUUUGUGGAAAUAAUUUUUGACAACAGUGACAACCGAAUACCUAUUGAAAAGGAUGAAGUUGUACUACGACGUGUCAUCGGGUCUAAGAAAGAUCAGUAUUUUCUUGACAAGAAGAUGGUCACUAAAGGUGAUGUUAUGAAUCUCCUAGAAAGUGCUGGGUUUUCCCGUAGUAAUCCUUACUACAUUGUGAAACAAGGAAAGAUAAACCAAAUGGCAACAGCUCCCGAUUCUCAACGAUUAAAGCUUUUACGUGAAGUGGCAGGUACUAAGGUUUAUGAUGAAAGGAAAGAGGAGAGUAAAGUCAUUCUUCGAGAAUCAGAGGGAAAGAGAGAGAAAAUUAACGAUCUGCUGAAGUAUAUUGAGGAAAGAUUGGCAACCCUUGAGGAAGAGAAGGAAGAACUGAAAGAAUACCAAAAAUGGGACAAAAUGAGGAGGUCCCUGGAAUACACCAUACAUGACCAUGAGUUGAGGGAUACAAGAAAAAAGCUGGAUGAUCUUCAAGAUAAACGAGAAACAAGUGGUGUACAGACACAAAAAUUACGUGACUCCCAGCAAAAUGCCAACGACAAAGUGAAGGCUAUCAAUAAAGAUCUUCGAGAACUGAAGACAAGGAUGCAGACCAUUUUAGAUGAAAAAGAACAAAUUGCAUCAGAAAAUCAAGAUCUGACCAAGAGGAAAGCAAAGUUUGAGCUGAAUAUUAAGGAUAUCCUAGAUGAUCUAGAAGGUGACAAAAAAGCCAGGAAAAAAACAGAAGAGGAGCAGAAGAAAGUGAAUGAAAGAAUUGCUAAAACACAGGCUUCCUUGGAAGCCAUAACCCCCCAGUAUGAGGCUCAGCAGAGUCGGGAAGAGAACUGCACUCAGCAGCUAUCUUUGGCUGAACAGAGGCGGAAAGAACUUUAUGCUAAGCAGGGGCGAGGAAACCAAUUCACGUCGAGGGAUGAACGAGACAAUUGGAUAAAGAAGGAGCUCAAGUCACUGAACAGAGCAAUUAAAGACAAGGAGGAACAGAUUCGAAGAUUGCGAGAAGAUUUGACUAAUGAUACAAAAAGAGCUGAACAUUUAAAAGUCAACAUACAGGACAUAGGUAGCAAGACUGACCAGAACAAGGAUAUCAUAGACCAGAACCAGAGAAGUUCAUCAGACAUGAAGAAAGAGAAGGAAACCAUCCACAAUGAUAGAAAUGCUAUGUGGAGACAGGAAAACAUCAUGCAGCAGGAGUUGGUCGGUAUCCGUGAGGAGCUCAGUAAAAAAGAACAGGCUCUACGUUCAAUGACGGGCAAAGCAAUUUUGAAUGGAAUAGAUAGUGUCCAAAAAGUGAUACAAUCUUUCCGAGACCAGCGGAAAUUUCCUGAGGUGUGUGAUGGCUACCUGGGUAUAAUGAUCGAGAACCUGGACUGUGAAAAAGCUUUCUUCACGUGUGUGGAGGUCACGGCGGGCAGCAGAUUAUUUCAUCACAUAGUUGACACGGACAGAACUGGCACAAAGAUUUUGGCCGAGAUGAACCGGCUCCGGCUACCAGGAGAGGUAACCUUUAUGCCACUCAACAGACUGGAUGCCCGUGACACCCCCUACCCCAACAUAAGUGAUGCCAUCCCAAUGAUCAGCAAGCUCAAUUAUGAUCAGCAAUUUGCUCGUGCAAUAAAACAUGUCUUUGGUAAAACCCUGAUUUGUCGGAACAUUGAGACUGCAACCCAGAUAGCUCGCACACAGAAUCUGGAUUGUAUAACUCUGGAUGGUGACCAGGUGAGUCGAAGAGGUGCUCUAACUGGUGGUUUCUAUGACACAAGGCGAUCUAGACUUGAUCUGCAGAAGAGCAAGCUUGAAUUACAACAGAAACUUGAUACACAGGAAAAGGAAUAUGCAUCUCACAAGUCCAAACUGGAGGUCCUGGAAGCGAAGAUCAACAACCUUGUUAGUGAGAUGCAGAAAACGGAAACAAAAAACAGCAAAAACAAAGACACAUUUGACAAGAUGAGAGCAGAUCUAAGGUUAAUGACAGAAGAAUUGCAAUCCAUUGAGAGAUCCAGGUCCCCCAAGGAAAAGAGUGUAGCCAGUUUACAGACGAGUUUGGAGGCAAUGCAGGGCUCAGCAGCCUCCCUCAAUGAAGAGCUAGGCUCAGAUCUUCUGUCUCAGCUGAGUGUGGAGGACCAGCGCGAGGUGGACUACCUCAAUGAUCAGAUCAAACAGCUAACCCAGCAGAACAAAGAGGCCCUUACAGAGCGUAUACGGCUAGAAGGUGAGAAGAACAAACUAGAGAAUCUCCUCCACAACAAUCUAAUGAAAAAACGAGACCGGAUAAUCCACGAGUUACAGGAAGUAUCGGAAGAAGAACGGCGGGCCAGACUUGAAACCUUCAAUUCAGACCUUGCCACUGCUGAUGAUAGGAUUGUGUAUCUCAAAAAGCAAUCCAAAGAACUGGAUGACCAACUAGAUAAGAUGAAUAAAGAGCAAAAGAAUUUACAGAACAAUUUGGAAUAUUGGAAGGGGCAGGAAAAAGAUAAUAAUGACAAAAUCAGUGAUGAUGCAAAAGAGCUGGAAAAGAUGACGAACAAGCAAUCUUUGUUAUUGAAAAAGAAAGAUGAAUGCAUGCGGAAAAUUCGAGAACUUGGAUCAUUACCUAGUGAUGCUUUUGAAAAGUACCAGAAUUUAAGUUUAAAACAGUUAUUUAAAAAACUAGAACAGUGUAAUCAUGAACUGAAGAAAUAUAGUCAUGUCAACAAGAAAGCCCUGGACCAGUUUGUAAACUUCUCCGACCAGAAAGAGAAGCUGAUAAAAAGGAAAGAUGAACUAGACAGAGGCCAUGAGUCCAUCUUAGAUCUGAUGAAUGCAUUGGACCACAGGAAGUAUGAAGCCAUUCAGUUGACAUUCAAACAGGUUUCCAAGUAUUUCAGUGAGAUAUUCAAGAAACUUGCUCCUCAGGGACAUGCUGUGCUGGUGAUGAAGAAAGGCGACCAUGAACAGAAUGGUGAAGAUGAUGAUUCCCCACAAGCAGAUGUUCCAUUGGUAGAACAGUUUACAGGUGUUGGCAUCAAGGUAUCGUUCACAGGAAACAGGGCAGAGAUGAAGGACAUGUUACAGCUGUCUGGAGGACAAAAGUCACUAGUGGCACUCACACUUAUAUUCGCCAUUCAGAAAUGUGACCCCGCCCCCUUCUACCUAUUUGACGAGAUCGAUCAAGCAUUAGACGCACAGCACAGGAAAGCUGUAGCAGAUAUGAUCCAUGAACUGGCUGGGGAUGCUCAGUUUAUCACCACUACGUUCCGGCCAGAACUCCUUCAGCAUGCCGACAAAUUCUAUGGUGUCAAGUUCAGAAACAAGGUGAGUCAUAUUGAGUGUGUGAGCCGUGAGGAGGCCGAGGACUUCGUAGAAGAUGACACCACACAUGGAUGAGGAGAGAGUGUAGGUCUAGAUGGACAAGCAACUCCUUCAGGCAUCCUGGUCUGGAAACACAUUCAGCAAUAACAACUGUGUGGUACCUACCAGGAACUUCUCUACAAAAGGCAGCAUUUGUUUGUUAGAGUUAAAUGUGGUAUCUGUGUUCAGGUGACAUCAGCUGGCCCAGAGUGGCAUCUGUUUGUUCAGGUGACAUCAGCUGGCCCAGAGUGGCAUCUGUUUCAGCUGGCCCAGGGAGGCAUCUGUUUGUUCAGGGUGACAUCGGCAGUAACAUCUACAUCUUAAGGUAGAAAUGCCAUGUAACUCGUACUUAUUGCAGCACUUGACAUAAUUACGCAACAUCACAAACAAAAUCUUGGAACCAUGACAGUCUAAUGUCGUACAAGGAAAUUUGACUAGUUUAUUCAAUUAUGCACACAAAAAAAGUUCAAAUGUUUAAUUUAUGCUGUUAAGAAAUUGAAUGCUGAGGUACAUGUGCGAUACUCGUUCAAUAGUGUUCGAUCAUGGAUAUUUUCUAAAAAGAUAAAUACUAUUGAUACAUUGUGAUGGACAAUGUUUAUGUUUAAAGUCAAUAUUAUAGAUUGUUAAUGUUUGGUUUAAACAUCUUACUGGUGUUAAAAGAUAAAAAGCUUUAUGAAAGUCUAGGAAUAUGUAAUGUGCUAUUUUAAAAAGGGAAGUUCAGAUCAUGUUUGGUGUACAUUUUUUAAUUGACAAUUAUUAAGGUUGCCAUCUCAUUAAUCAUAAAAUCAUUUAUAGUAUGUAUUGGUAGGAUUGCAGAGAGAGAGGGGGGCAUACAGAGAGAGAGAGAAGGGGGGGGGGUUGAUUCAUACACAAAUGGGCGAUACAUACACAGAGAGAGAGAGACGUACACAGUUAACCCCGUAGUGAGAGAGAAGGAUGCAGUUUGAGAGAGUAAAUUAUAGGAUGUUUUUCCCUUUUUCAUUGUUGUCAUUCAUCGUAUGAACGUCAUGGCUACAUCUUGUGUGUUAAGGACAACACAUCUGACAAGUAUGAUAUAGUUAUAAAGAACUGAUAACACAAUAGGGAAGGACCAAUAAUCUUGCAACAAUGCAACCCUUUUUUAAUGCGAGCAUCUUAAUUUGGUACAAAUACAUGCUGAAAUGUAUUAUAAUAUUAUUUGGGAGGGAUGUGAAGUGGUCUCCGAGAAGGUCUGCUGAAAAUAAAUCUUGAUUCACAAUUAAAUGCGUUAAUAGCUACUGCUGUAUUGGGUGAUCUUUGUAAAGAUGGUGAUUUAGGCCAGUAGAAGUAUUAGGAAGUUUUCUAGAAAGCUAUGGAUGAGGGAUUGGGUGGGGAGGAUGCACCUAACUUGCACCAAAACACAAGUUAAAGUGUGAUGUCCCUCCAGUUUGACACUUUUAUGUGAUCUUCAGUAUCAUACACCAUCUAGAAGGAAGGUUUAAUGUACAGGUGUCUCUUCUUUUAGAAGGUACAGAGUUAUAAAUUAUUUGUCCUCAUGUGGGAGGAUUUAACAUAGAUAUCUGUAAAACAACACUUUUUUUGCUUUGAGCUGUCCUAAAUUCUGAUGUCAGCUUUAUUUAAAUGUCAUAUCACUUUGGUGAGGCAUUAUUUAGUCAGUUCCAAGCAGGUUACUUUACAUAGAAUUUACUUACAUAAUGUAUUAUAACUGACUGGACUUAAUCUGUGAAGGAGGACCAAACAGCUCAUUAAAACAUCCGUCUCAGGCCUUUGAAAAGUCCUGGGUUCUAAUCCUGAUCUGGCUGGUGACAUUUUCCCCUGCUUGUUUAACUAGCCUAGACAUGUAAACAGUUGGAGAGAAAACUUUAUCUAAGAGGAUAUUAGGGACAUGUGUGCACAUUACGUUUAUGUGAAAUAAUAUUUCAUGUAAUUACUGCUUGUUGUCAAGUGUUUUUGUAUAAUUGUUGUUAAUAAGAUGAAAAUAUUAAAUAUUUUUAAGUAUAUUGUGUAAAGAAAAAGUUUUCAAUGUUUAUCAUUCAUCUCCAUCUUAACCAUUCUGUAAUGUCCCUAUUAGAGUUGAUUUGAGUGUUCGUAUCAAAUCUGUUAGCUUUGUGUCCAGAAUUUAUCAUACUUUUAUCUGUGUAAAUAUUGAAUAAAUAUUAAAAAAAAAA
rnacentral:misc_RNA from 1 species